rnacentral:rRNA from 1 species
GUGCUUAACACAUGCAAGUCGAACGAUGAAACCUAGCUUGCUAGGUGGAUUAGUGGCGCACGGGUGAGUAAUAUAUAGAUAACGUGCCUCUUAGUCUGGGAUAGCCAUUGGAAACGAUGAUUAAUACUGGAUACUCCUUCUCUUUAUAAUAAGAGUUGGGAAAGUUUUUCGCUAAGAGAUCGGUCUAUAUCCCAUCAGCUUGUUGGUAGUGUAAGAGACUACCAAGGCAAUGACGGGUAGCGGGUUUGAGAGGAUGAUCCGCCACACUGGUACUGAGACACGGACCAGACUCCUACGGGAGGCAGCAGUGAGGAAUAUUGCACAAUGGAGGAAACUCUGAUGCAGCAACGCCGCGUGGAGGAUGACGCAUUUCGGUGUGUAAACUCCUUUUAUAGGUCAAGAAAAUGACGGUAGCCUAUGAAUAAGCACCGGCUAACUCCGUGCCAGCAGCCGCGGUAAUACGGAGGGUGCAAGCGUUAUUCGGAAUCACUGGGCGUAAAGGACACGUAGGCGGGAAGCCAAGUCUGAUGUGAAAUCCUACAGCUUAACUGUAGAACUGCAUUGGAAACUGGUUACCUAGAGUAUGGGAGGGGGAGAUGGAAUUAGUGGUGUAGGGGUAAAAUCCGUAGAUAUCACUAGGAAUACCUAAAGCGAAGGCGAUCUCCUGGAACAUUACUGACGCUAAGGUGUGAAAGCGUGGGGAGCAAACGGGAUUAGAUACCCCGGUAGUCCACGCCCUAAACGAUGUUCACUAGUCGUCGGGAUGCUAGUCAUCUCGGUGAUGCACUUAACAGAUUAAGUGAACCGCCUGGGGAGUACGG